GGGCAGGUGCUGCAGCCAAGGUGAAAAAGGAAGAAAUCCCAGAUAAAGAAAAAUGGAAUUCAUACGAGAUAAGGAUUUUUUCAUCUGCAGAAACCUACAGCAAGGCCCAGGAACUGUCCAGGAGAGCAGAGGUUACGUCAAAUGUUGAAACAGAACCUGAAGGUCCAAAAAGCAGAGCUACCAAAAAGCCUGCUAGAUAUGACUUCUCAGAUGAAGCUGAUGAUGAAGGCGAUAAUCCUGAGUUCUCCCACACUCCAUCUGUAGCUGUUCUGCCACAAUCUCCUCACCUAAAUGUUGGACUUUCCAAAACAAGCUCGCAUCAUACCAAACACUCAGUUGUUCAUGAAAGAUUUUCCUCCCCAGAAUGGUCUGAUGCAUCCUUCAAAACCAGAUCCUCAUCACGGUCCUCAGAAAUAAUACAUGUUAACGCACAAGAUUUGAAAAAAAUACAUCAGGCAAUUUUAAUUUGUAUGAUAUGUAAACGAAAUCCAUAUCCUUAUGAUUAUACAAAGUGAUUUAUUUUCAUUCACCUCAUCUCAGGGUAGACCUAAACUGCAAUGCUGAUAUAUGAAAUUAACAGAAACACACACACACACACACACACACACACACACACACACACACACACACAAGGUGCUUAUACACAUUAAAUUUCUGACAGCUUCAUCAGACCGAGGUGCAACAGAACUUGUACCUGUUUCACAGACAGAGUUUGCAGGUAGAGCAUGCCUUCAUUGUUUACGUAUUAAGUGUAUUUAAAAAUUAAAACUUGCAUUUUUUUUCAUAGUCUGCCAGUGACAGUAACAAUCAACCUUCUAGAAAUAUUACUUUGUGACUGAAAAUCUUUCUUCCUGAUGCAGAGUUCAAGAGCGCUGUAAUGGCAAACUUCAAGACAAUCCAGGAAAACCAGCGGCUGAUGUUAAGCUGCCUACAGUCUUCUUCCAGUGGGCUAGGGGAUGAUGUGGAGGAUGUACUGCCAGCUCUAGUAAGCAGCUUGGAGGAACUGGAUGACCUAAACUCUAAAUUGGCUGAUCAAUCUUUCAAAAGGAAUUUGGUAAAAUAAAAAUGUAUAAAUUUGAAUAUGAGAAAGUUUCAUGAUAUUUUGAAUAUUGAUAUAAGAUUAUUUUUGUCUUGAAGAAUCAUAUCUUCUUGUAUUUAUGGUCCUACUAUUAUUUGUUGCAGACACUGUAUUUGUCAUCUUUUGGAGGUCACAGCCUUGGCGAUGCUGUCCGGAGGAUUUUUAAAAAGCUUGGAACUAAUUCCGUGUGGUCGUUUUACAGCCUCAAAGGAAAGAAAGGGAAGCUACCAUUUAGUGAUCUUCCCAUCUGCAAAGUUAUCAUCAGAGCAUGCAUGAGAACCUACAAAGAAGCAAAAACCUCUGCAGUGGAGCAUCAAAUUAGUGAGGCCCUGAAGCAUGCUCCUAAGAGGAAAGGUGGCCCAAAAUACAAGGAACCUGAGCAAAAGAGACGUGAGCAUUUUGUAGAAGAGUCAUCAAAUUCCUCUGACUAGCCGCAGUUGAAACGAGAAGAUGCCAUGGCUGCAGUCUUCUUCUUCCUCUGUUGACAUUUCCGGUCCACCACCAUCUCCUCCUCCAGCUGCCUCUCCCUGAUGCCCCCCUUCACUUCGUCCUGCCAGCGCAGCAGGGUCUCCCUCACCGGUGCCUGCCCUGCAACUCCAUGUCCAUCAUUCUCCUUCCCAUGUAGUCUUCAUCUCCUGAAUGGUACUUUUUUUGCUAAAAUAAAUUUCUCAUUU